GCCUAGGUGGCUGAGUUGGUUAAGCAUCUGGCUCUUGAUUUCAGCUCAGGUCAUGACCUCACAGUGCGUGGGUUCGAGUCCCACAUCGGGCU
rnacentral:tRNA from 1 species